rnacentral:misc_RNA from 1 species
AGCAUUAUGGGAUGUGGUAUUUAUAUCCCUGGCGUUGUGGCGAUCGAACGUAUGUGUCGAUCGUAAUAUUUAUCGGAUUUGGGGACAUAUUAUGGAAAUAAGGACAAUGGGGGAACGCGUUUUUGCUGCCGAAUGCAUACAGAAGAAGCGUAUACGGAGGGGAAAAGUCGAGUUCUUCGUCAAGUGGAAAGGCUGGUCACCUAAGUACAACACGUGGGAGCCGGAGGAAAACAUCCUGGACGCUCGCCUCAUCCAGGCUUUCAACUCUCAGUACGAAAAAGAGAACCAUGUACGACGAAGGGGACCAAAACCUAAGAAGAUGCGACUGCAGGAGUCGGACGACUCGGAUCAGCGACGACAAGACAGUUCCGAGUUCUCGGCCGCGGAUAGCGACAAGGAUCCCCAUAGCGACGACGAUACAGACGACUCAAGCUCGGAAGAAAUCUCGUUCAAGAUAUCAGACAGGAAGAGUCCGAUGUCUUCCCACCAUGGAGAUGGCGCUUCAAACUCCGUGUUGGCUGAUGGCGAUCUUGCACUGUCCAAGGAAGCUACGGAUUCGUCCCAAAACAAUGAUUCGUUCAACUCGCUGUCAAGUGGGCACGGAUUCUCCCCGCCCGACGGCUCUCAUUCACCUCCCCCUCCCCAACUGAUCCCUAUCAAACGGCCGCGGGGUCGUCCCCGCGGGCGUCCGCCUCUGUCCGGAAGAGGCGGCCCACCAACACUGAGGCUCAAUGUUGGCGUCAUUCGUGGUCGUGGCCGUGGGCGAGGGCGUGGCUCUCCUGGUAGAGGGCGUGGUCGUGGCCGUCCUCCUCUCGGAGGAAGGGGACGUGGUUUAUCCGGGAGGGGAAGGGUGUCCCGUGGGAGGGGGCUAGGUAGGGGAUUACGAGGUGUUGGAAGAAACACUGUCAUCAGAAAGCCGAACUCGAGCUUAUUAGCGCUGACUAAUAAACCAAAAGUCAAGAAAAUCCACGAAGGACAAAUGAAAAUUAAAGAUAUGGACUUUUCCAAAUCUAAAAAGAUUGAGACCGGUAUGUUUCUGAAGGACAGGAAAGAAAACAUGCAAGGUGUUAGUAUUCUUGAGAAGGAAUCUCGACAUGAGUCGGGCAAAUCUAUCCAUUUUUCGCAACCUGUGGAGCAAAGAGACUACUGGCGUCCUCCUUCUGACGUCAAAACAAUGCUGGAUCACGUGAUGGUGACGGAUGUUACUACAACAGGAGGGACAGUUACAGUGCGCGAAUCUUCAUCCAAUUCCGGAUUUUUCCAGGAGAGAGAUGGCGAGAAUUCUGUCGAACAAGCAUAAACAAUGCACGACGCAUGUAUUAGUUGUCUGUCUGAUCACUCAGCACUGUUGUGGAAGGUGUUGUGUGAAUGGUAUUAUUAAGUUAAUUAAUUUCAUAUGAUCGCCAUCUUCUGCUCAGAAGCAAUUGCUUUACACAAAGGAGCCGCCCAGACAUACUGGUAAAGGCCUAGGAGGACACAGGGAUAGUAUGUAUACACACCAUAUACUGUAUAGUGAUACAGUCCUUAACCAGUGUGUGUAGGUGCUAUUCCUCCUCUGUCUGUACCAGUGUGUGUACGUUCUAUUUAUCUGUCUCCUCUGUCUGUACCAGUUUGUGUAUGUGCUAUUCCUCCUCUGUCUGUACCAGUGUGUGUACGUGCUAUUCCUCCUCUGUCUGCACCAGUGUGUGUACGUGCUAUUCCUCUGUCUACCAGUGUGUGUACGUGCUAUUACUCCUCUGUCUACCAGUGUGUGUCCGUGCUAUUUCUCUGUCCCGUCUGUCUGUACCAGUGUGUGUACGUGCUAUUCCUCUGUCCCGUCUGUCUGUACCAGUGUGUGUACGUGCUACUCCUGUCUGUACCAGUGUGUGUACGUGCUAUUCCUCUGUCUACCAGUGUGUGUACGUGCUAUUACUCCGUCUCCUCUGUCUGUACCAGUGUGUGUACGUGCUAUUCCUCUGUCCCGUCUGUCUGUACCAGUGUGUGUACGUGCUACUCCUGUCUAUACCAGUGUGUGUACGUGCUACUCCUGUCUGUACCAGUGUGUGUACGUGCUAUUAAUAUGUCUGUAGCAGUGUGUGUACGUGCUAUUGAUAUGUCUGUACCAGUGUGUGUACGUGCUAUUAAUAUGUCUGUACCAGUGUGUGUACGUGCUAUUUCUCUGUCCCCUCUGUCUGUACCAGUGUGUGUACGUGCUAUUUCUCUGUCCGUACCAGUGUGUGUACGUGCUAUUACUCUGUCCCCUCUGUCUGUACCAGUGUGUGUGGUCGGUGUGAUUUAACAUAUUCAUCUUGUUGACUUAUCGUGAUUUCACUCCAAAUGACUUGAAUAUUGUGGUAGAGUAGGUGUAACAAUGGAGGUGUACUGUUGGCGUUACGUGGUGUAGAUAUACAGUAUACUGACAAAUGUUUUACGAUAUCAAAUAUAAGGACAUUAUGUUGGAUAUAAAAUGUUGUACAAUAUAAAAUUGAAGACCAGC